rnacentral:rRNA from 1 species
AAAGAUUAAGCCAUGCAUGUCUAAGUACAAGCCUCAGUAAGGUGAAACCGCGAAUGGCUCAUUAAAUCACACCUAAUCUACUGGAAAGUUACAAGUUACUUGGAUAACUGAGGUAAUUCUUGAGCUAAUACAUGCGAAAAAUCUCGACUCACGGAGAGAUGCUUUUAUUAGAUCAAAACCAAACGGCUUCGGCCGUCUCAUUGGUGACUCUGAAUAACUUUGGGCUGAUCGUAUGGCCUUGUGCCGACGACGUUUCCUUCGAAGGUGUGCCCUAUCAACUGUCGACUGU